rnacentral:rRNA from 1 species
GACGGACGCUGGCGGCGUGCUUAACACAUGCAAGUCGAACGGGUCUGCCCUGUUUUUUGCGGGGUGGGUCAGUGGCGAACGGGUGAGUAACACGUGAGUAACCUGCCCCUCACUUCUGGAUAACCGCUUGAAAGGGUGGCUAAUACGGGGUGUUCUGGCUGUGCCGCAUGGUGUGGCUGGGAAAGAUUCACUUUUGUGGUGUUUUGGUGGGGGAUGGGCUCGCGGCCUAUCAGCUUGUUGGUGGGGUGAUGGCCUGCCAAGGCUUUGACGGGUAGCCGGCCUGAGAGGGUGGGCGGUCACACUGGGACUGAGAUACGGCCCAGACUCCUGCGGGAGGCAGCAGUGGGGGGUAUUGCACAAUGGGCGGAAGCCUGAUGCAGCGACGUCGCGUGAGGGAUGGAGGCCUUCGGGUUGUGAACCUCUUUCGCCGGUGAAGAAGGUCCUGCUCUUUGUGGUGGGGUUGACGGUAGCCGGGUUAUGAAGCGCCGGCUAACUACGUG